rnacentral:lncRNA from 1 species
UCAAAUUAAUCAUAAACUAAUUUUUCAGUAAAGUCUACUUCCUGUAAAUCAUUAUCAUCUCCAGGUUGCUUGCAAAUGUUAUGUAACAGCCUGGCCCAACAUGCUGAAUAUUGUCUGCUUUGGGCCUUACCGCCCUCACGGUUUUGUCCCUGGUGACGCGAGCCCACUACUGAGCCUUACGCCCCAAAACGCGUUCAACAUGUUAGCACCAGCACUACUAAUAAGGCCAGCAACACACCCCUCACACGUCGAUGUGGGAUCUUACAAUCCACCCCCCUUAGGGAGCCCGACGACCCCGUCGGCACAACCGGAC